AUCUCUGUAGAGUCUGCAUAUCAAUAAGCGGAGGAAAAGAAACUAACUAGGAUUCCCUCAGUAACGGCGAGUGAAGCGGGAAGAGCUCAAAUUUGAAAUCUUCAAGGUUCUACCUUGACGAAUUGUAGUUUAAAGAAGUGUUUUCUGUUGGAGUUUUGGUAAAAGUUCUUUGGAAUAGGACAUCAUAGAGGGUGAGAAUCCCGUAUUUGACCAUUAUUUCCAACUUUGUGAUACACUUUCAAAGAGUCGGAUUGUUUGGGAAUGCAGUCCAAAAUGGGUGGUAAAUUUCAUCUAAAGCUAAAUACUGGCGAGAGACCGAUAGCGAACAAGUACCGUGAGGGAAAGAUGAAAAGAACUUUGAAAAGAGAGUUAAACAGUACGUGAAAUUGUCAAAAGGGAAGCGUUUGACACCAGUGUUGUUUCCUCGAAAAUCAAUUAAAAAAGGCAGGAUUUUGUGUUGUAUUGACUUUAUCAGCUUUCUGCACUCUUUUCUUGUCUUUUUUAAUGCACUUUUCGUUUAACAAGUCAACAUCAAUUUCUUUUGUUGUAAAAGGGUCAUUGGAAGGUGGCUUUCUUUUCGGAGAAAGUGUUUAUAGCCUUUGGCCUCUGCAAUCGGAGAGAUUGAGGUCUGCAGCGUAGAUCCUUCGGGGUUAGAUACAUUUGUGCUAAGUUAUAGCCUUUCAUAGACAACUUGUUGACUAUGAUCAGUCAUGUAGCUUACUCGCUUAUGCUAUUUUACCUACGCUUAGGAUGUUGACGAUCAGCUGAGCGCG
rnacentral:rRNA from 1 species